AUGUCUAGUAAAUAGAGUCUUGAUCAUUUUUCUCAUGAGGUAAGAUUCAUAAGUUCCAUAUGAUUCAUAAUCAUAAGGAUCAAACAAAUUAUCUUUGUAUAACUUGUUAAUCCUUGACUCAUUUAUAUGGCCAAAUCGGUAGUGCCAGAGGUAUGUGACAUUCACAUUCUCUCUCUUUCUUUUCUUCAUAUUUUUAAUAUGAAACACAUUA
rnacentral:lncRNA from 1 species